GGAGAGAAUUGCAACAGGCAGAGAGCGCCGCGAGAAAAGAGAAGUUGGGAGGAGGACAGGGGGCGGGACAAAGCUCGAGAGAGAGAGAGAGAGAGAGAAAGAGAGAGAGAAAAAGGGCAAAAGAAAAAGAAAGUAUGAGAGAAGAAGUAGCGAGGAAGAGGGGAGGAGAAUUUCAUAAUGUUGAAUCUGUCUUUACUGGAAAACUGUCCAGAAGAACCAGCAGCGCUAAGACAGAAAAUAGAAAUAGAAAAAAGUAAACAUUUUCUACAACACAAUGACAUGCUGAUGGAAACAAUGUUUUAGUGUUUCAAUGGGAGAAACUAACGAAUUGUAAACUGAUAGAGUAUUAACUGGAAAGACAAAGAGAGAAACCUGAACCACAGCAAGAAAUGUCUCAUCCCAUACUCUCAGAAGAAACAAAAGAAAAGGAGGAAUUCCAUUAUAACCAGUCCGUGUCCCACCCAUAGUAAGUGGUCACACUUCAUACUGCGGCCUGACGCCUCCGGGGGCCACAGGGCCCCCCCGGCCUAGAGACUACAGGAGAAAAGAAGAUCGUUUGAAAGAGCGAGAGAGAUGAAAGGAGAUGUGGAAAAAGAAAGACGGGGGAUGGGUUCCGUAACGGGGCAGAACGGGAGCAGGACUCAUACAGAGUACAACACCGAUCCAUGGUGCAUUGCACUGCCACUUCGUGUCGGAAGGAAAACGUCCAGACGUCUGGGGGAGCAGUGAGGAGAAGAAAGGAGGGGGUUGCACAACAGAAGAAAGCAGAUGUGAACGACAGCCAAUGAACUGUGAACCAUCACUGUUGAUACCGAAGUCUCUGUUCACCUGAUACGGUUUGAAUUGUGAUUGCGUAAAAAGUAUGGUGGCCAAGAACCAGAGAACAACAAAGACCAGGAACAUAUUUUUUCACUUCACUUACAAACACCAGUUCUGAACAUCUUGAUUACGUGCCGUUUCCGUUUCAUAAAUGAUUUAAAGGUUAUUUGAUGGAACUGAGAUACUUUUCUCCUCUUUUCUACAACGCUGUAAUGAAACAUUCAGUUCUGAAUUAGAACCUUUUUGGGCCAGUCUAAAAGGUUCCAGCUUCGCGUUCUUACAAUUCUUAAAUCAGACCCAGCAACACUGUUCAUUGCUGACUGGUUACUCAUGUUUCAGGGUGCAGUACGUGAUACUUUAC
rnacentral:lncRNA from 1 species